rnacentral:rRNA from 1 species
UACGUAGGGUGCGAGCGUUAAUCGGAAUUACUGGGCGUAAAGCGUGCGCAGGCGGUUUUGUAAGCCAGAUGUGAAAGCCCCGGGCUUAACCUGGGAAUGGCAUUUGGGACUGCAAGGCUUGAGUGCGGCAGAGGAGACUGGAAUUCCUGGUGUAGCAGUGAAAUGCGUAGAUAUGCGGAGGAACACCGAUGGCGAAGGCAAUCCCCUGGGCCUGCACUGACGCUCAUGCACGAAAGCGUGGGGAGCAAACAGG